AUACGUAUGUCGCAAGCGUUAUCCGGAUUUAUUGGGCGUAAAGCGCGUCUAGGCGGCUUAGUAAGUCUGAUGUGAAAAUGCGGGGCUCAACCCCGUAUUGCGUUGGAAACUGCUAAACUAGAGUACUGGAGAGGUAGGCGGAACUACAAGUGUAGAGGUGAAAUUCGUAGAUAUUUGUAGGAAUGCCGAUGGGGAAGCCAGCCUACUGGACAGAUACUGACGCUAAAGCGCGAAAGCGUGGGUAGCAAACAGGAUUAGAUACCCUGGUAGUCCACGCCGUAAACGGUGAUUACUAGGUGUUGGGGGUCGAACCUCAGCGCCCAAGCUAACGCGAUAAGUAAUCCGCCUGGGGAGUACGUACGCAAGUAUGAAACUCAAAUGAAUUGACGGG
rnacentral:rRNA from 1 species